GCGAAAGUGGCGGAAUUUGGUAGACGCGCUGGCUUUAGGUGCCAGUGGGGUAACCCGUGAGAGUUCGAGUCUCUCCUUUCGCA
rnacentral:tRNA from 1 species